rnacentral:SRP_RNA from 1 species
GCCAGGCAUGGUGGCGCAUGCCUGUAGUCCCAGCUAUUUGGGAGGCUAAGGUAGGAGGAUCACCUGAGCCCAGGGAGGUUGAGGCUGCAGUGAACCAUGAUCACACCACUGCACUCCAGCCUGAGCAACAGAGUGAGACCUUGUCUCAA